GCAAAAUUCCUGUGUUGAAUUACAGUGUAAAGAAUUACACUGAUUAUACCAUCAGGGGAAUUCACCUUCUUCAUGAAAAAACCUAAGUUUUAAACAGCAGCAGAAGUGUAUUUAAAACAAAACAAGGGUAGAUUAUCUUUCACUUCCAUUAUAUGUCUGCCAUUAUGGAAUGCUCUAACGAAUGUAUUUCCCCCAGACACUUGCAUGGUGCAUGCAGGAAAGGAUUAGAUUACUAUCUGUGGAUAUGGACUGAGAUUUAUCUUGCUGAGUUUCACAUGCUUAUAUUAUCAUUUUCUACAUUUUCUGCUAGAGAGCAGACUUCCUGAGUUCCUUAAAAUAGAUGCUUGGAAACAUAGUUCACCUAUUCUGCUUCAACUGCCCAUGUGUGGAUGACAGGAAGCAUAUUCCAGAGGUGUCUGCUUCUUUCUCUUGACUGCAGAGGGAACUGACACAGCAAGCUCAGAUGAACCCACUCUUUCUAUCUUCUGAGUCACCACACAGCAGACACAGUCGGAAAUGACAGUGCAACAUUUCCCAAAGUACACUACAAUUUUCUCUUGCCCUUGGUUUUGAAAAGCUGUGCAGAAGUAAAGAAGUGGGAGGUUAAUUUUUCGGGAAGCACUGCUGCGCUGUGCGGGCGCUGGAGCACAGGCUGCCCAGAGGCUGUGGGGUCUCCUCCCUGGAACUCUCCAGAAGCCGCCUGGCCAUGGGCCUGGGCACCCUGCUCUGGGUGACGCUGCUGGAGCAGGGGCUGGGACACAGGGACACAGAGGGCCCUGCCCGCCUCAGCCUGGCUGGGGUUCUGGGAUAAUUUCUCCAGCCAUGUUUGCACAAUCUUUGAGAAGAGGCUCUGAGAGCAUUUGCUAACGCAGGAUGUGCCCUGGCCCUCCACUUGUCUUUCUGGCCCGUAGGCUGCAGACUCCGUGUGGUUGGGUCCUGGUGCUGAGCCGUCCUCAGGUGGGCCUGCUCUGCUCGCUGGGGUGCCCUUCACUUGUCCCUAGGCCACACUGUCAGCUUCUGCCUGCAGGGACUUUGGCUCUUGGUUUCGCAUGGCUGUGGGCCAGCUCGCAAAAAUGAGAUUUUUCUUCCUCCAUUGACUUCAUGGGCAAUUGAACAAACUACUGAAGGAAGCAAUUAUUUCAGCUAUUGUGCAAAAGACGAAUGGCAGCAGUAUUACCAUCACCUUCUUGAGCUAUGUUUUAAAAG
rnacentral:lncRNA from 1 species